AUUGCACUCUGGCGGCAUGCCUAACACAUGCAAGUCGAGCGAGCGGCGAACGGUUUCGUAAUGUCUGGUAAACUGCCUGAUGGAUGUGGAUAACUACUUGAAACGGUAGCUAAUACCGCAUACCAUCAGAUGUGCCCAGAUGGUAUUAGCUAGUCGGUGGGGUAACGGCUAACCUAGGCGACGCUCCCUAGCUGGUCUGAGAGGAUGACCAGCCACAGUGGAACUGAGACACGGUCCAGACUACGACGGGAGGCAGCAGUGGGGAAUAUUGCACAAUGGGCGAAAGCCUGAUGCAGCCAUGCAGCGUGUGUGAAGAAGGCCUUCGGGUUGUAAAGCAAUUUCAGCGGGGAGGCGUUACCCGCAGAAGAAGCACCGGCUAACUCCGUGCCAGCAGCCGCGGUAAUAC
rnacentral:rRNA from 1 species